AGAGUUUGAUCAUGGCUCAGGAUGAACGCUAGCGACAGGCCUAACACAUGCAAGUCGAGGGGCAGCGAAGAGGUAGCAAUACCUUUGUCGGCGACCGGCGCACGGGUGAGUAACACGUAUGCAAUCCACCUGUAACAGGGGGAUAACCCGGAGAAAUCCGGACUAAUACCCCAUAAUAUGGGCGCUCCGCAUGGAGAGCCCAUUAAAGAGAGCAAUUUUGGUUACAGACGAGCAUGCGCUCCAUUAGCCAGUUGGCGGGGUAACGGCCCACCAAAGCGACGAUGGAUAGGGGUUCUGAGAGGAAGGUCCCCCACAUUGGAACUGAGACACGGUCCAAACUCCUACGGGAGCAGCA
rnacentral:rRNA from 1 species